ensembl:misc_RNA Metazoa_SRP Metazoan signal recognition particle RNA
GCUGGGUGUGGUGGUGCAUACCUGUAGUCCCAGCUACUUGGGAAGCUGAGGCAGGAGAAUGGCUUGAACCUGGGAGGCAGAGGUUGCAGUGAGCUGAGCUCGCACCACUGUACUCCUGCCUGGGUGACAGAGCAAGAUUCUGUCUCUC